rnacentral:rRNA from 1 species
UACAGAGGGUGCAAGCGUUGUUCGGAAUUAUUGGGCGUAAAGCGCGUGUAGGCGGCUUGGCAAGUCGGGUGUGAAAGCCCUCAGCUCAACUGAGGAAGUGCGCCCGAAACUGCUUUGCUUGAGUGCUGGAGAGGGUCGCGGAAUUCCCCAAGUAGAGGUGAAAUUCGUAGAUAUUCGGAAGAACACCAGAGGCGAAGGCGGCUCACUGGCUCAUACUGGACGCUGAGGUGCGAAAGCGUGGGGAGCAAACAGG